UACGGAGGGGGCUAGCGUUGUUCGGAAUCAUUGGGCGUAAAGGGCGCGUAGGCGGCCUGCCAAGUCGGAUGUGAAAUCCCUCGGCUCAACCGAGGAACUGCACUCGAUACUGGUUGGCUAGAGUCCGGGAGGGGAUGGUGGAAUUCCCAGUGUAGCGGUGAAAUGCGUAGAUAUCAGGAGGAACACCGGUGGCGAAGGCGGAUCUCUGGGCCAUAACUGACGCUGAGGAGCGAAAGCAUGGGGAGCGAACAGG
rnacentral:rRNA from 1 species